rnacentral:lncRNA from 1 species
UGUGUUUUGCUCCAUUUACAGGAAGCUACUCCAGCGUUCAGAGGACACCAGUCCUCACCAGCGAAAAGAUGUGUUGACAAUCUGAACAAUGGCAAGAAGACUACAGGGAGAAAGAUUUGGAAGUAACACAGCAAUCAGCUCCAAGG